rnacentral:rRNA from 1 species
UACGAAGGGGGCUAGCGUUGUUCGGAAUUACUGGGCGUAAAGCGCACGUAGGCGGGUUUGUAAGUAGGGGGUGAAAUCCCAGGGCUCAACCCUGGAACUGCCUUCUAAACUGCAAGCCUGGAGGUCAGGAGAGGCGAGUGGAAUACCGAGUGUAGAGGUGAAAUUCGUAGAUAUUCGGAAGAACACCGGUGGCGAAGGCGGCGACCUGGUCCAUUACUGACGCUGAGGCGCGAAAGCGUGGGGAGCAAACAGG